CUCGUAGGCGGUUUGUCACGUCGUCUGUGAAAUCCUCCAGCUUAACUGGGGGCGUGCAGGCGAUACGGGCAGACUUGAGUACUACAGGGGAGACUGGAAUUCCUGGUGUAGCGGUGAAAUGCGCAGAUAUCAGGAGGAACACCGGUGGCGAAGGCGGGUCUCUGGGUAGUAACUGACGCUGAGGAGCGAAAGCAUGGGUAGCGAACA
rnacentral:rRNA from 1 species